rnacentral:rRNA from 1 species
UACGUAGGUGACCAGCGUUGUCCGGAUUUACUGGGCGUAAAGAGCGCGCAGGCGGUCGUUCAAGUCGAGUGUGAAAGCCCUCGGCUUAAACUGAGGAAGUGCACCCGAAACUGAGUAGCUAGAGUACUAAAGGAGGGUCGCGGAAUUCCCGGUGUAGAGGUGAAAUUCGUAGAUAUCGGGAGGAACACCGGUGGCGAAGGCGGCGACCUGGGGUAGAUACUGACGCUGAGGCGCGAAAGCGUGGGGAGCAAACAGGG